GAUGAACGCUGGCGGCGUGCCUAAUACAUGCAAGUCGAGCGAACAGACGAGGAGCUUGCUCCUCUGACGUUAGCGGCGGACGGGUGAGUAACACGUGGAUAACCUACCUAUAAGACUGGGAUAACUUCGGGAAACCGGAGCUAAUACCGGAUAAUAUAUUGAACCGCAUGGUUCAAUAGUGAAAGACGGUUUUGAUGUCACUUAUAGAUGGAUCCGCGCCGCAUUAGCUAGUUGGUAAGGUAACGGCUUACCAAGGCAACGAUGCGUAGCCGACCUGAGAGGGUGAUCGGCCACACUGGAACUGAGACACGGUCCAGACUCCUACGGGAGGCAGCAGUAGGGAAUCUUCCGCAAUGGGCGAAAGCCUGACGGAGCAACGCCGCGUGAGUGAUGAAGGUCUUCGGAUCGUAAAACUCUGUUAUUAGGGAAGAACAAAUGUGUAAGAAACUAUGCACGUCUUGACGGUACCUAAUCAGAAAGCCACGGCUAACUACGUG
rnacentral:rRNA from 1 species